rnacentral:rRNA from 1 species
ACGCUCGACACCUACUGGAGGCAGCAGUGGGGAAUAUUGCACAAUGGGGGAAACCCUGAUGCAGCGACGCCGCGUGGAGGAAGAAGGUCUUCGGAUUGUAAACUCCUGUUGUUGGGGAAAAAGAGGAUGGUACCCAACAAGGAAGUGACGGCUAACUACGUGCCGNAGCCGCCGGUAAGUACUGAGCGGGCGUGGCGAAGGACG